UGAGCGCAGCACUGUCAGGGGGAGACGCAG
rnacentral:piRNA from 1 species